ACAUGCUUUAAAGUGCCCUCUUUUCCUCUCUCUCUCCCUUCUCCUUCCUCCCUCUUCCAUUCUUAAUUAAUUAAGAGUCCUACCAAUUAACAAAGAUAAGAAGACAUACAUAAUUGAAGAUGAAUGCUAUAAUGAUGUUACUACAAAACUAUAUGCAUUCAAGUUCUUGCCAUAGUAGCUAGACUACUAUAAUAUGUGACAAAAACAAUAAAACGAAUUUUUAACCAUUGUCAAUAGAUGAGAUAUAAGUAAAAGACUUUCUAGAACAAUAACAAAUUCAAUCUCUUAAAGAAAGAAUUGAAAGAAGUGGUGUUAAGUAUGCCAUAUGAUAUGUAU
rnacentral:lncRNA from 1 species